UAGGCUGGAACCAAGAAACCUUAAGGCUUA
rnacentral:piRNA from 1 species